AUUGAACGCUGGCGGCAGGCUUAACACAUGCAAGUCGAGCGGGGAAAGGUAGCUUGCUACCUGACCUAGCGGCGGACGGGUGAGUAAUGCUUAGGAAUCUGCCUAUUAGUGGGGGACAACAUUCCGAAAGGAAUGCUAAUACCGCAUACGCCCUACGGGGGAAAGCAGGGGAUCUUCGGACCUUGCGCUAAUAGAUGAGCCUAAGUCAGAUUAGCUAGUUGGUGGGGUAAAGGCCUACCAAGGCGACGAUCUGUAGCGGGUCUGAGAGGAUGAUCCGCCACACUGGGACUGGGACACGGCCCAGACUCCUACGGGAGGGAGCAGUGGGGAAUAUUGGACAAUGGGCGAAAGCCUGAUCCAGCCAUGCCGCGUGUGUGAAGAAGGCCUUUUGGUUGUAAAGCACUUUAAGCGAGGAGGAGGCUACUUGGAUUAAUACUCUAGGAUAGUGGACGUUACUCGCAGAAUAAGCACCGGCUAACUCUGUGCCAGCAGCCGCCGUAAAAC
rnacentral:rRNA from 1 species